GGAGAAUGAAGAUCACAGAUAAGAUAGAUGUAAUUAUUUAUAGAAAAUUCCAAUUACAUAGUUGGAAUUCAAAUUUAGAAGAAAAUACUAUUUCCCCUUCCAUUAAAGGGAAAUUCUGUCGACAUUAUUCUAUACUUCUUAUUUUUGAGAUGAUUGUCGAUGUUAUUCUAUACUUUUUUAAUAGUAGUUACCCAGCUAAGCGGUAGAGUCUCAGUGGGGCACAAUUCGCUUGAAUUCCUCGACCUUCACAUAGAAAAUAGUUUCAUAAACUUCAAUAAGACCGCCAUUACUUACUUCCAAAGUAAGACGGUAGAUGGUCCCAUCCACCACCUGCUUUUCUGCUUUUAGGACUUUCAGAAGCGCCAGAUGCGUUCUCUUUUCAUCGUUGUAAUCAUAGACAACGAAGUGAGCGAGGCUUUGGAUCUUAGGGCUGUUGGGAUCCACAGGUUCGUAUCCUCCUGGUUCUGACAUUUCCUUGGAAAAUUUUAAUGGUAGAAGAUAAGCUGC
rnacentral:misc_RNA from 1 species